rnacentral:rRNA from 1 species
UACGUAGGGCGCAAGCGUUGUCCGGAAUUAUUGGGCGUAAAGAGCUCGUAGGCGGUUUGUCGCGUCUGCUGUGAAAACUCGAGGCUCAACCUCGGGCUUGCAGUGGGUACGGGCAGACUAGAGUGCGGUAGGGGUGACUGGAAUUCCUGGUGUAGCGGUGAAAUGCGCAGAUAUCAGGAGGAACACCGGUGGCGAAGGCGGGUCUCUGGGCCGUAACUGACGCUGAGGAGCGAAAGCGUGGGGAGCGAACAGG